rnacentral:rRNA from 1 species
UACGUAGGGCGCAAGCGUUGUCCGGAAUUAUUGGGCGUAAAGAGCUCGUAGGCGGUUUGUCGCGUCUGCUGUGAAAACUCGAGGCUCAACCUCGGGCUUGCAGUGGGGUACGGGCAGACUAGAGUUCGGUAGGGGAGACUGGAAUUCCUGGUGUAGCGGUGAAAUGCGCAGAUAUCAGGAGGAACACCGGUGGCGAAGGCGGGUCUCUGGACAGUUCCUGACGCUGAGGCACGAAGGUCAGGGGAGCAAACGGGG